GAUUAAGAACGUAGCGAAAUGCGAUACGUAGUGUGAAUUGCAGAAUUCAGUGAAUCAUCGAAUCUUUGAACGCACAUUGCACCUCUCGGUAUUCCGGGAGGUAUGCCUGUUCGAGCGUCAUUUGUACCCUCAAGCUCUGCUUGGUGUUGGGUGUUUGUUCCGCCUCUGUGUGUGAACUCGCCUCAAAACAAUUGGCAGCCGGCGUACUUGUUUCGGAGCGCAGCACAUUUUGCGAUCCAGAUCAACGUACAGCGGCAUCCAAGAAGCCUUAUUUAACGCUCUUGACCUCGGAUCAGGUAGGGAUACCCGCUGAACUUAAGCAUAUCAAUAAGCGGAGGA
rnacentral:misc_RNA from 1 species